rnacentral:SRP_RNA from 1 species
GCCAGGCGUGGUGGUGCACUCCUGUAAUCUCAGCUACUUGGGAGGCUGAGGCAGGAGAAUCACUUGAACCCAGGAGGCGGAGGUUGCAAUGAGCUGAGGUUGAGCCAUUGCAUUCCAGCCUGGGCAACAGAGUGAGACUCUGUCUCAA